rnacentral:piRNA from 1 species
UGAGUCGGGUUUUUUGCUUUU